CGGAACGUGCCCAAUCGUGGGGGAUAGCUCGGCGAAAGCCGGGUUAAUACCGCAUACGAUCUACGGAUGAAGGCAGGGGACUCGCAAGGGCCUUGCGCGAAUGGAGCGGCCGAUGGCAGAUUAGGUAGUUGGUGGGGUAAAGGCUCACCAAGCCGACGAUCUGUAGCUGGUCUGAGAGGACGACCAGCCACACUGGGACUGAGACACGGCCCAGACUCCUACGGGAGGCAGCAGUGGGGAAUUUUGGACAAUGGGCGCAAGCCUGAUCCAGCAAUGCCGCGUGCAGGAUGAAGGCCUUCGGGUUGUAAACUGCUUUUGUACGGAACGAAAAGGCUCUGGUUAAUACCUGGGGCUCAUGACGGUACCGUAAGAAUAAGCACCGGCUAACUACGUGCCAGCAGCCGCGGUAAUACGUAGGGUGCGAGCGUUAAUCGGAAUUACUGGGCGUAAAGCGUGCGCAGGCGGUGAUGUAAGACAGUUGUGAAAUCCCCGGGCUCAACCUGGGAACUGCAUCUGUGACUGCAUCGCUGGAGUGCGGCAGAGGGGGAUGGAAUUCCGCGU
rnacentral:rRNA from 1 species